CCCUUAGAUGUCCUGGGCUGCACGCGCGCUACACUGAUGUGUCCAGUAAGCACCUAACCUCUUCCGAAAGGAACGGGUAACCUUUGCAAAGCACAUCGUGAUGGGGAUAGAUUAUUGCAAUUAUUAGUCUUGAACGAGGAAUUCCUAGUAAGCACAAGUCAUCAGCUUGUGUUGAUUACGUCCCUGCCCUUUGUACACACCGCCCGUCGCUCCUACCGAUUGAAUGUUCCGGUGAGCUCUUCGGACUGCGCGGUCUGCAGUUUCUGCGUUCCGUGCGGAAAGUUGCGCAAACCUUAACAUUUAGAGGAAGGAGAAUUCGUAACA
rnacentral:rRNA from 1 species